GCUUGUCUCAAAGAUUAAGCCAUGCAUGUCUUAGUGUAAAUAACUCUUAUGAAACUGCGAAUGGCUCAUUAAAUCAGUUAUCGUUUAUUUGAUGAUCUCUUACUACUUGGAUAACCGUAGUAAUUCUAGAGCUAAUACAUGCGUCAAACCUCGACUUCUGGGAGAGGUGUAUUUAUUAGAUGGAAACCAAUGCGGGGCAACCCGGAUUAUGGUGAUUCAUAAUAACUUUCAGAUCGAUCGCAAGAUCGAUGCAUCAUUCAAGUUUCUGCCCUAUCAGCUUUGGAUGGUAGGGUAUUGGCCUACCAUGGCUUUAACGGGUAACGGAGAAUUAGGGUUCGAUUCCGGAGAGGCAGCCUGAGAAACGGCUACCACAUCCAAGGAAGGCAGCAGG
rnacentral:rRNA from 1 species